AGUGAACGCUGGCGGCAGGCCUAACACAUGCAAGUCGAGCGGAUGAAGGGAGCUUGCUCCUGGAUUCAGCGGCGGACGGGUGAGUAAUGCCUAGGAAUCUGCCUGGUAGUGUGGGAUAACGUCCGGAAACGGGCGCUAAUACCGCAUACGUCCUGAGGGAGAAAGUGGGGGAUCUUCGGACCUCACGCUAUCAGAUGAGCCUAGGUCGGAUUAGCUAGUUGGUGGGGUAAAGGCCUACCAAGGCGACGAUCCGUAACUGGUCUGAGAGGAUGAUCAGUCACACUGGAACUGAGACACGGUCCAGACUCCUACGGGAGGCAGCAGUGGGGAAUAUUGGACAAUGGGCGAAAGCCUGAUCCAGCCAUGCCGCGUGUGUGAAGAAGGUCUUCGGAUUGUAAAGCACUUUAAGUUGGGAGGAAGGGCAGUAAGUUAAUACCUUGCUGUUUUGACGUUACCAACAGAAUAAGCACCGGCUAACUUCGUG
rnacentral:rRNA from 1 species